CCGCCUCGCGUGGUAGAGCAUUCGGCUGUUAACCGAAGUGUCGUUGGUUCAAGUCCAACAGGGGGA
rnacentral:tRNA from 1 species